AUUGAACGCUGGCGGCAUGCCUUACACAUGCAAGUCGAACGGUAACGGGCCUUCGGGUGCCGACGAGUGGCGAACGGGUGAGUAAUGUAUCGGAACGUACCUUUCAGUGGGGGAUAACGUAGCGAAAGUGCCGCUAAUACCGCAUAUUCUGUGAGCGGGAAAGCGGGGGAUCGCAAGACCUCGCGCCAUUGGAGCGGCCGAUAUCAGAUUAGCUAGUUGGUGGGGUAAAGGCUCACCAAGGCGACGAUCUGUAGCGGGUCUGAGAGGAUGAUCAGCCACACUGGAACUGAGACACGGUCCAGACUCCUACGGGAGGCAGCAGUGGGGAAUUUUGGACAAUGGGGGCAACCCUGAUCCAGCCAUGCCGCGUGAGUGAAGAAGGCCUUCGGGUUGUAAAGCUCUUUCGGCCGGGAAGAAAUCGUAUCAGCUAAUACCUGGUGCGGAUGACGGUACCGGCAUAGGAAGCACCGGCUAACUACGUGCCAGCCGCCGCCGUAAUAC
rnacentral:rRNA from 1 species